rnacentral:lncRNA from 1 species
AGGUAUAGUCAGAAAUGAUGAGCAAAGAGCAAAGAAAGCAGAUAAGUGAGUUAAUUGAUAUUGAUUGACCAUGUAAAAUUAAUAAAAAAAAAGAUUUCACUGGAUGAUAAAAAAUUAGAAAAAACAUAGUAAAUGAAAAAAUAAUUAAAAUGAGGGAGAUAGGAAUAAUUAGAUUGAAGUAUUAUAAAACUCUUCAAUUUUUCCAGGAAAUUGCAGCUAUCAAUAUUAAACUUCAGAAAUGCAUGUUUAAGUAUAUACAAGUUAACCUCAAAGAGAAUAGAAAGACAAUUUAUAGUUUCGCAACUGGAAGAGAGAUACAUGAAGCUUUAUAAACAAAAUGCAUUCAAGGAAAGCAGCCAAAGAGAAAAAGGAAACAGAGCAAGCAGAAUUAAUAAGAAAUAAAAUGAAAUCUUCCAAGUGCAAUUCCUUGUACACCCAUAAACAGAAGGGAGAACAUAAAGUGUCUUGUGUGCUUAGCUAAGGAGUUAUAAUAGUUUUCUAUGGAAAUAGGGGAUGAGUGAAUCUUGCAGUUGUAUUUCUAUCUCCCUGUACAACUGUUAAGUUAUUUUAUGGGCAAUUCUUUCAGAUUCCUCUCUGUACCUACAUGGACAACUCCUUGUGGUGGAAGCAUGUUUUAGUACUAUUAGAGACAUAAAAUUAAAUAGGUCUUUAUAUGGUGAUCAAGAUGAUUAGACUGGCAGCUUCUUGCAGGCAGAUGUACUCUUUCUCUUGGUCCUAUGUGACUAGUAGAUAUCAAUAAAGAAGGGGAUCACCUCUUUUCUGAGAUCUUGUAUAUUUUAUCCUACUGAUUUAAUAAGAAUUUCUAAUACACUUACAAAAUUUUGUAACCAUAUUGUUAUAGACAUCAUUGAUAAUGAGAGUAAUACAUUAUAAAUAAAUCAACUUUUACUGAGUGUUUCUUAAUCUAAGACACUGUAUUAAGCAUAUAGGAUCAUUUUGAAUUCUCACAUGUGCUUCACAUGCAUAUAAUUAUUAAUCCCAUUUUAUAGAUAUACAGACCUUGAAAGAUUGCAUCUCUCUGUAAGAUUAUAUCUGAGGUAGCCGAGCAGGAAUUCAAACUCAAAGCAGACUUCAGAGUUUGUCCAUUAAGCUAUACUGUUUCUCUGGCCUUCACAAACAUAUCCUUUAAGCUCAGUAAAAGUCCAUUUGGCUGCUUUGAUGUUGAAGAAUUGAAGAACAUUCAGACAAUCAAAGAGAAAUGGCAUUUAAUUUGCAUAGUUGAUGAGAACAACAACAACCAUCUAAGAUCUGUUUGUUUAAAAUGCACAUAUUCUGUUGUUUACUUUAGAUAGAUUUGUGAUUGUCAUUAAAAGCCCGCUCCCUUUUCUCCCAGUCUGCAAUUCUCUUUGAAUAUGACUCUUCACUAGGAGAUAAAAGCAACUUUAAAAAGAAGCUCACUAUGAAAGAUCAAGAGUGCCAUUUAAUCAUUUAAUCAGCAAUUAUUUAUUAGCAACCUCUUCUGGGAGUACAGUUGUACAGGCUCUGGAGAAAGUGAUGCUAAAGUUUCUCUAGUGAGGCGUAAGAAGAAAGCAAGCAAGCAUACUGACUGGCACAGAGGUCAUUUAGUAAAAUUUGCUGGGUGAAUGAAUGAGGAAGAAAGUGUGAGGGGGUGUGUUGGUUUUAUCAGGUUGUCUUAUCAAAGUCCCCCACACUGGGUAACUUACAACAACAGACCUUUAUUUUCUCCAGUUCUGGAGGCUAGAAUCUUGAAAUCAAGUUGCAGGUAGGGCCAUGCUUCCUCUGGAGGCUCUGGUGGAGUACUGUUCCUUGCCUUGUUCUAGCUUCCAGGAAUUGUCGGUAGUUUUUGAUGUGCCUUGGAAUGUAGUGCAGAUGCAGCACUUCUGCCACUUGUAUUAUCAUGUAGCAAUCACCCUGUGUGUCUGCCUGUGCCCAAAUUCUCUCAGUUUACAUGGGCACUAGUCAUUGGAUUAGGACCCAUUCUAGGAAUCAAGACUUCCUCUCAACUGCAGCUGCAAAAACUCUAUAUCCAAAUGAGGUAACAUUCACAGUCGCCUAGGUUUAGGACUUAAACACAGCUUUUAGAGGGACAUGAUUCAAUCCAUAACAGGAAGCUAUGACAAAGUUUAUAGAGGUCAUGAGCCCCCUGUGUGCGGCAUGUGUGGGUGGGGGUGUGUGAAGGGGGCGGUAGGCCAUGGCUUCCCAGAGAAGAUGAACUUCAUUUGACACUUGAAAAAUAAGGUUUUCCCAGGAAAUGCUGGGGGAUGAGGCAGGCAUUUCCAGGAGAGGAAAGCACCUGAAAAGCUUUAAGUAUCAAGUGGAUCCUAGGCUUCAGCAUUUAGUUUUUAUUCUUUAUUAUUUCUGCUGAUUCUCUUAUCUCCCAUAUAUAUAUGUAUAUGUGUGUGUGUGUGUGUGUGUGUGUGUAUUCACAUUUAGCAACAUGUAGGUAAGAUUUAUGGUAAUGCUUUGGCAUCAACUUUUAAAAUCCUCCAGUCUCAGUGAGAAGCCCUUGGUAUUGAGUCAAGUUCUAAAAAUCAGUAAUGGUAAUGCUUUGUGCCAUGCUAAUAAAGGAAGUAUCAACAUCAUUUUCACGUUUAUUGUUAUUUAUUAAUAAUUGCGUCAGGCUAAAAUGAGCUGUCUUUUGAUGGCUUUUAGAGAGGAAACUAAAAAUGAAUCACAAGUACUAAAACUGCAGGAUAAAGCACAUACAACAUCAUCAAUGCAGUUAAGCUCUCAUCUAGGUUGUACUUGUGCUUUUUGAACAACUCUCCUUUAUAUGCAGAUUUCAAACAUCUUUCUGUUCAUGGUCAUAUCCUUGGUUAAUGAGAGAUUAUACAUGUGGCCAUAAAUUUUACAUUUAAAAUAUAUCAGUUACCUGUCAAACAAUAUGAAUUCAGAAUUGGUCAAAGAAAUUUUGAAUAAAUCUAUAUUAUAGUCCUUCAUUAAAGCAUGUUUUAAAAGCAUAUUUAAUAAUAUAGGGAACUCCUUCAUGAUACACCAUUGAAAUUCAAAACCAUAUUUACAGUGGAUCUUAAUUGUGAAGUAAUUUGUGUGUAAAAAGAAAUACACCAAUAAUGAAAUGUUACAAAUACUUCUUAUUUUACUUGCACUGUUCCAUAUUUUUCAAAUUCACUGCAAGGAUGAGUAAUGGAAAAGUGAAACGGUGAAGACCUAUGUAGGAACUUCACUCACUUAUUAGUAGCAAUGAGGAACUUCUUUGCUCAUUUAAUAAUAAAUUUCAAAUUCUAGCAGAAUAUUUCCUCCAUUUAUUUGUGCUAUUCAUAAUGUAAGUGAGACAGUUUGAAAUUUAACCUGCUUUCUUAGCAUUUUCUUCAGCGCUUUCUUAAAUCUUUGCAACUAACAAAACAAUAAGUCACACCUCAAUCUGUAGACUUGGCUGAUGUCCUUGGUGAAAAUACUCCCACCACACUGGUUUUCCAGCUACUACUGCAAUAAUACCAAACUUGUCGUUAGGAAAAUAUGUACACAUAUGAUAAAAUAAAUGUAAAUAACCUCCGUGGUAUAGAUAAUAGUGAAUUGCAGUCCGAUUAUUAUAAAAUGAUGUUUUGAGUACUUACUGUCAUAUUUAUUUUAAGUGUAUGUAAUACAAUGUUAAAUAAUAGCUAACAAUUAAAAAAAAAUUAACUGAUUCUCACAAGUUGCUAUUACCUAGCUCUAGCACACUACUGUCUAGGAGAAAAGAAAAGAAAUACAGAUGUAGGAGACAGAACCUAGGCAAAUUUUGCAAUUAGUCUGCACUUUAGUUUUGAUGGUUAUAUAAAUGUUGUGAAAACCAGAAAUAUUCAAUUAGUGUGUAUAUAUAUAUAUAUACACCAUACCAUAUAUAUAUUGUAGAAAAUGGUGUACAUGCCUUAAUGUGUCUUCAACUGUGAACUCUGCUCAUAUAAAAUUCAAACAUACACACACACAUAUAUACAUACAUACAUAUAUGUAAGGUAUGUGUAUGUAUGUAUAUGUAUAUAUACACAGAUAUUUAUAUGUAUAAAUAUGUACUUUCUAAAAUUUCACAGAGUUGUUUGUGAAUGUAGCUGAAUAUCCUCCAUUGAGUAUAAUUAAAACAAUAUGGAGACAGGGGCUGGAAACAGAAAGCAGAGGAACAAGGAAGAGCAGACUGGAAUAUGGUUUCUCAGCAUCUCCAUCUCCUUAUCUGUAAAAUGAGGUGAUAAUAAUAGGAUUUCCUUCACAGGCUUGUGGAAAAACAGACAUGAGUCUAUGUAAGAAAAGUGCUAAGAAGGGUCAUAACACAAGUUGUUAGGAGGGAGUUAGUGCUUGCACUGAUUAUUAUAAUUUUCAUUAUUUUCUUGGAAAAAAAAAAAAACUUCCCAGAAUGAAAUUUCUCUAUGUUGUAUUUUUUCAUCUGUUUUAAUAACAUUCUCUCUAGAAAGGCUGGAUCAAUUUGAACUUCCAUCAACUGUCUUUGACAAUGUUUAAUAGGUGACACCCUCCCUCUAACAUUCCAUAUUGCAUUUUUAUCUUGUCAAUUUUAUAGAUGAAAAUCACAUUUAACAGGCUUAAUCUAAAGUUUUUUUAUUAUUUAUCAAGGUGAUAUAUUUAAUGUAUUCAUCGCUAUUAAAAUAAUUUUUCAUUUGUAAAUUGCUGUUCCAUAUCUUUUCACAUAUUUCUAUGGGACUAUAAAGAUGUUGUAUGAUUUUUAGAAAAUUUUCAUUUGUUAUUCACAUAAAAUUUAAUUAUUAAGUAUAAUGACAUUUCCAGUUUUGAGUAUCAGUUCUAUUUAUAGAAAUUUGGAAAGUGGAAAAUGUAUCAUAUUAAACAGAUCAACUAGCAUUACCUUUAUUGUUUGUUUCUAACUUUGGUAUGAUCAUUAUAACUGAUUUUUUCAUUCCUGAUAUUAUAGAAAUACAACUUCUUUAUAGUCUAAAGUAUUGGGACCUUUAUAUUUUCACAUAUUUUUAUCCCCCCAAAAAAUUUAUGGUGUUUUCUCUGAAAUUCAACUUUCAUUUUUUUUUCUAAAUUUUUAUAAAUCCAUAUAUUGACAGUUCUUUCCUGAUUGGUUCAAAAUGUUGCCUCUGUCACAUAUUAGACCUCUAAACAUAAUUUUCUUGUUAACUUUGAGUUUUUUAAUGUCCCGAUACCAUCCCUGCUCUCUUUACCUUUGCUCUGUUUCUGAAGCUCCUGUAACUUGAGUCCAGAGCAGUAAGUGUGAAAUCUAAAUGCAGAAGUGCAAUGGAGUUAAUGACUGGCUGACAUGGUCUCACUAUAAUUUUUAAAAGUAGUUCACUUUAUUGCAGGUAGGAGUCCCAGUUUUUGAGGUGUUUUUGUUUUUGUUUUUGACAUUACUUAGAUUUUUUUUUUUUCCGCUGAAAAUAAAUAUCUAAGUUAGCAAAUACGACUGAGUUUUGGAAAAGAGAUAGAGGCAUUGACUUUACAGCAUCUGUGAUGAUAUGCCUCUGACUUAUGUUGUUCACAUAUCUAAUGUUUUAAUUACAAGGUGGAAUAUUUUUCUGUGUGAAGUAGAUAUUUCAUCUCAAGAGAGUUUUAUUCUUUUUUUCUUCCCUCAGUAGAUAUUUUAGGCUAAAACGAUACUUUUACAUUCGGCUAAAGAGAGACAAUUAACAUUUUCUUAGAAAAGCAAUAUGGUAAGAAGAAUUCUAUUUUAUAGACUCACAAAUUAUCAUUUCUUAUCUCAAUGAAUUAGCCUUAGAAGCUUUUAAUCUAAUUAAUACUCAGCAAGUAUAACACCACAGGGUGAUAUUUGUGUAGCUGCCUGUGUGCAUGGAUUUUAAUUAUGGAUUUGCAAACAGAUUUAGAUAAAUCAUCUCCAGCUGACCUAUGCCUAUUGUGGGUGUAAGGUAGGGACAUUUUAGUUAAUUUAAGAAUUUUAGUUAAUUUAAAUGUCUUAUAUUAAUCCCCAUUUGUAUAUGUUGUGUCUGUGUUCGUGUACGUGUUUAUGCACAUUUAUUUAUUCUUUCUUCCAAAUGACCUAGAACUCCUGAUAUAUUUUUCAUUACAGGAUAAAUAAAUAUAUGUGAGGAAGUAGAAAGAAAUUGGAUUUGGAAACUAAGAGACCUGGCCUCUCCUUUUUCUACUCUCUUUCGGGGGAAUUUAUUUUCUUCAAAUAUAGAAAUAUUGGAUAUCUAGGACCAUUUCAAACUCUAAUAUAUUAUGAUUACAAAUUUAAUAAUGGUUAACUUUAUUUCAGAAGGAAAAUCUUUGAGUAUUUAUGUCUCCCAUAUCUGGAUCUGAGCUCUAGAACUCUUGAACAAAUUUUAUCUUUGUCAUCUGCCUUGCCAGGUACUUAUAUACUGUUAGCUCUAGAAAAGUGA